AGCCAUCCAAAUCAGAGUAGCAUGCACGUAUGCCAUCCAGUACAGAGAGUAAAAAAAUGAUAAGUAAAAGAAAACUGUAGCCUAGUACUGCACCACUAGUACUUUACUCGUUCCUCUCCUCGUCUUCUCUGCUAUCCCAAGAACAGAACCAGCCACCCACCUCUCUCUCUCCCCAAGAACAGGGCACGGCCGCCGUCGCCUCGAUCUGCCCCGUCCGGGCAUCUCCGGCGACACGGCGGACACCUACAGAUUCUCCUCGUCUCCUUCUGCCAUUUCCCCCUAUUUAUUUGAUCCGCCGCCGUCAAAAACGUCGCUACCACUCAAUCCUAGCGCCUCCUGAUUCAGGUCCGGUGGGCUUGCCACUGGCUGCAGCGGCAACAACGUCUCCAUGCCUACAUCCUUCCCCAGCGCAGCCACACGCACGAGGCGUGCAGCCACGGGCGUUGGGCGUGUGCGGCUUCACCAGCGCUGCUCGGUCGCCAUGGCUCUGCUGAUAACGGUGUGGACUAGCCACAUCCUACUGCUACUAGUGCAAGGUAGAUAGAUCAAGGUGAAUAGAUGUUCAUGGACUGAUUCAAACCGAGGUGAAGAUAGACAAGAAGUCAAGCAAGAAGGGCUAACACAACAAGGUACUUGAUUAGUACCUGGUGGCAACGCAUGCAACCCAAAGAGCUUCACAACAGUGAAGUACAGCAGUGGCAGAAGGUGAAAAGGCAAGUGGUGGUGGUACUCCAGUGUAAGUGUGUGUGUGAGGUAGAAUGGUCCACAGUGAAAGAGAUGGCUCCUAUUUAUAGUGGAGUGAGCUGCUUUGUCGGUUUGGAGAGGCAUUACAUCUGGCAUGCAUGCGUGGUUAGGCUGGCAUGCAUGCCUCCACUUGUGUCUCUUGUGGGCUGUACUAGGGACAAGUGUAAUUUGCUUGGCUGGCCAUUAGUUGGCAUUUACUUUGUGUGUAAGAAAAUGAGACAAGGAUUCAGUUGUAAAAUAUAUGAAACUUUGGGGAAGAAUUGUUUUGCAAAGCUAAAUGGUAUUUGUUGUAAUAAAAAAUGUAGUUGUUUCUAUUAUUUUAA